AUUGAACGCUGGCGGCAUGCUUUACACAUGCAAGUCGAACGGCAGCGGCGGGGGCAACCCUGGCGGCGAGUGGCGAACGGGUGAGUAAUGUAUCGGAACGUAUCCUGUAAUGGGGGAUAACCAGUCGAAAGAUUGGGUAAUACCGCAUACGCACGAGAGUGGAAAGUAGGGGAUCGCAAGACCUUACGUUAUAGGAGCGGCCGAUAUCUGAUUAGCUAGUUGGUGGGGUAAAGGCCUACCAAGGCGACGAUCAGUAGCUGGUCUGAGAGGACGACCAGCCACACUGGGACUGAGACACGGCCCAGACUCCUACGGGAGGCAGCAGUGGGGAAUUUUGGACAAUGGGCGAAAGCCUGAUCCAGCCAUGCCGCGUGCAGGAAGAAGGCCUUCGGGUUGUAAACUGCUUUAGUCUAGGAAAAAGGGGUGCGAGGUUAAUACCCUCGUGCUUUGAUGGUACUGGAAGAAUAAGCACCGGCUAACUACGUG
rnacentral:rRNA from 1 species